GCGUGGGAUCCGGCGGCGGCGGCGGCAGCGGCGGCGGCGACGGCGGCGGCGGCGGCUGCAGCUCGCGGCGCGGCCUUCCCCGCCCCCUCGCCUCCGCGCUUCCGCCGGCCCCUCACCCCGGCGCUGACAGACCGGCGCGCGUCGGCAGCGAGCAUGGGCGACAAGAAGAGCCCCACCAGGCCGAAGCGGCAGCCGAAGCCCGCCUCGGAUGAGGGCUACUGGGACUGCAGUGUCUGCACCUUCCGGAACAGCGCCGAGGCCUUCAAGUGCAUGAUGUGCGAUGUGCGGAAGGGCACCUCCACCCGAUCCACAUUCUCUGAAGCUAUUGCGAAUGCCUUGAGGACCAAGGGACCGUUGUGAUCCCCUCUCAGGAAGGAAGCCACGCCCUGUCUCCCAGCUGGUCGCACAGCAGGUCACGCAGCAGUUCGUGCCCCCUACCCAGUCGAAGAAAGAGAAGAAAGACCGAGUAGAGAAGGACAAGAGUGAGAAGGAAGCUGCUAGCAAAAAGAACUGUCACAAGAAAACCAGACCAAGAUUAAAAAAUGUGGAUCGGAGUAGCGCUCAGCAUUUGGAAGUCACUGUUGGAGAUCUAACAGUCAUUAUCACAGACUUUAAGGAGAAAGCCAAGUCAGCGCCUGCGUCCAGCGCUGCUGGCGAUCAGCACAGCCAGGGCAGCUGCAGCUCGGACAGCACUGAGCGGGGUGUGUCCAGGUCCUCCUCGCCGCGGGGAGAAGCCUCCUCCCUCAACGGAGAGUCUCACUAACCGUUCUUGCUCCACUUAGUCAUGCCUGUCCUCCAUGGAGAUGCAGAGUAUGCCAACAACUACCACAUUUUCAUGACAGACACACUCAUGCAUAACCUAUAAUUUGAGUUUUACACGAAAUACGAAUUUGCCAGGAUUUAUUAGAUUUUAUUGCAGUGUAAGCUACCAAACAUUUCCAGAGUUAACAUUUUGGUCUCUGCUGUUAAAUGCCAUGAAAAUGUGGUUGAAUUAUUCAUUAUGCAGUGUUAUUGGUAAGUCUAUUUUCACUUAUAGUUUAGUGAAUUCUAACACAUAAUUAUUGAAUUCUCUACUAUUGGCAUGUAAUGAGUUUAAAUUUUUUAUUACAUAGUGCAAGCUGCCUAAAUAUGUAUUAUUUGAGAAUUGUGAAACAAAUAGUUAUAUGUAUGCAAGUCAGAGAUCAACUUAAUCAACUAUUGCUGCAACAGGAUUUUCUUAAUGGUUAUCCUCUUAAUGCACCUGCUGGUACUUGGUGUGAUUAAAUAGGAAGUUGUUAUUAAAUAAAGAAUUUGUAUGAAUCUUUGCCAAUGUUUUUUGACAUGUUUUUACUAAAUUAUUGUUUCUGAGUUAUGUUUUAUCCAUUUUUUGCAGUUUAUGUUUGUUAGUUUGCUUAUUUUUCAAAGCAUCAAUUUAUUGUACUGUUCACUAGUAGACAGUACGACGUGGCUUGUUUAGCUUUCUGAUCAGGGUUAGCGCUGUUGUCGUUGAACACUGGUAUUUCCUGCAUCCUCUAAGACAUUAGAGUUAAAGAAGCAAGCAUCUGGCAGAAGCAGGAAAGAACUUGCCAUACUUGCAAACGCUCUAACUUAAUGAUAGUUUUAUCACUGUCUCCCUGUUCCAACCCUACCCAGGGUCACAGACAUGUGACUCUAGUUGAUAUAAACAUGUAACUAUUACACAGAACUGAGGUGUCACUCCUAAGUCAGCUUAAUUGGCCUUUUACUAAAUAAAACAAUUCAUAUGGAAACCACAGUACUCUAGUUCCAGAUACAACCUUCAAUUUAUGCACUUAUCAAUAUCUUGAAAUAAAAAGUAUUUACGGCCCCACUCACUUAUGUAUAAUCACCAAUAAAAUAUUUUUUAUGACUUACAGUUUUGCAUUUUGUUUACAACUAAAUGGAGUGUGUUAUGUUGUAUUUGAAAAUACAUCUUAGAAACUACAUGCUCUAUCUUAUUCUCCUCAGGUUCUCUUGUUUUUGCUAGCCAUUUGCUUAAUAUAUAUCUGCCUAUGGGGGUGGGGGGAGCUUCUGAAAUGUAAAUUAACCUAAAGAUAAAACGUACCUUGAAUAUCAUCUACCACAUAAAAGACAUCAUGGCAACAUUUGAAGGAAAAUCUGUGGUCCCUGACAGUUGUGAUACUUGGUUUCUCAUGGUAAUGUCACUGUUGAAAUGCAGUUCGUUUCAUUGGCACAGUGGUACUCUUGUAACGUGCUAGUUGUGAAUAGUUUAUUGCAUACAGUAAAAAUCUGUGAUGAAAACGCUCAGAUACCUCAUUCUUCAGUGUUGUUAAAUGAAGGCUUAAAACUUGUUUUAUUCU